GGAAUAUUGCGCAAUGGGGGCAACCCCGACGCAGCCAUGCCGCGUGAAUGAAGAAGGCCUUCGGGUUGUAAAGUUCUUUCGGUAGCGAGGAAGGCAUUUAGUUUAAUAGACUAGGUGAUUGACGUUAACUACAGAAGAAGCACCGGCUAACUCCGUGCCAGCAGCCGCGGUAAUACGGAGGGUGCGAGCGUUAAUCGGAAUAACUGGGCGUAAAGGGCACGCAGGCGGUGACUUAAGUGAGGUGUGAAAGCCCCGGGCUUAACCUGGGAAUUGCAUUUCAUACUGGGUCGCUAGAGUACUUUAGGGAGGGGUAGAAUUCCACGUGUAGCGGUGAAAUGCGUAGAGAUGUGGAGGAAUACCGAAGGCGAAGGCAGCCCCUUGGGAAUGUACUGACGCUCAUGUGCGAAAGCGUGGGGAGCAAACAGGA
rnacentral:misc_RNA from 1 species